rnacentral:rRNA from 1 species
AACGAACGCUGGCGGCAGGCUUAACACAUGCAAGUCGAACGCCCCGCAAGGGGAGUGGCAGACGGGUGAGUAACGCGUGGGAACAUACCCUUUCUACGGAAUAGCUCUGGGAAACUGGAAUUAAUACCGUAUACGCCCUACGGGGGAAAGAUUUAUCGGGGAAGGAUUGGCCCGCGUUGGAUUAGCUAGUUGGUGGGGUAAAGGCCUACCAAGGCGACGAUCCAUAGCUGGUCUGAGAGGAUGAUCAGCCACAUUGGGACUGAGACACGGCCCAAAAUCCUACGGGAGGCAGCAGUGGGGAAUAUUGGACAAUGGGCGCAAGACUGAUCCAGCCAUGCCGCGUGAGUGAUGAAGGCCUUAGGGUUGUAAAGCUCUUUCACCGAUGAAGAUAAUGACGGUAGUCGGAGAAGAAGCCCCGGCUAACUUCGUGCCAGCCGCCGCCGUAACAC